CCCUAGUCAUCUCCCUCCCAACAACGAUGCGCAGAGAAUGAAGCAAUGGCAUCUGCUUCGUUCUCUCUCCGAAAGCCUAACCCGAACCCUAGCUGCCCAUUCUCCUGACACUGUUCGCUUCCUCUCCUCCGCCACAGCCUCACCAACCUUUGCUCUCAAGAACGUUACCAAGUCCAACUUCGAAUCCUCCCUCGCCGACCUCCGGCGCCAUGUUCGCGACGCCGAUUUCGUGGCCAUUGACCUCGAGAUGACCGGCGUCACCAGCGCUCCUUGGAGAGAAUCCUUCGAGUUUGAUCGGUUUGAUGUUCAGUAUCUCAAGGUUAAGGACUCGGCGGAGAAGUUCGCUGUUGUCCAGUUCGGUGUUUGUCCCUUCCGGUGGGACAGUUCUAGGCAUUGCUUCGUGGCUCAUCCGCACAAUUUUUAUGUUUUUCCUCGGCAAGAGCUUCCAGUUGAUGGCCCUUCAUAUGAGUUCCUCUGCCAGACAACGUCAAUUGACUUCCUAGCUAAAUACCAGUUUGAUUUCAAUGCCUGUAUAUACGAAGGAGUAUCUUAUUUAUCCAGAGAACAAGAGAAUGAAAUGCUGAGAUGCCUAAAUUCCGAAUGUGAUGAUGAGAUGUCACUAUUGUGGCGUAACAUGAAAGAAGUUAGAGACACGCCACUGGUUAGUGUGGCAGAUGUUCUCUUCAGCGAAAGAAUGAAGAACAGGUUCAAUGAAUGGCGCAAGGAGUUAUUACAGGAUAGAAAGGGAGGGUCUCAAUUUCUGGAGACCUCAAAUGACAUGAAGCAACAAUUUCAAACUAUUUUCUUUAAGAUGCGACCAGCUCUUAUAUUGAAUGGGUUCACUGCUCAUCAGCUGAGAUUGAUUCAAUUGGUCAUAAAGAAGCAUUUUAAAGAUCUUGUUUACAUCCGUUCAAGUGGCGAUGGUUCCUACUCAGAACUAAUAGUAUAUAUAGACUCUGACAAGGACAAGAACCUACUUAUGAAAGAGGUGAAGGAUGGGCUUCGCAGAGAAGCAGAGAUGAAAAUUAAAACUGCGGUUGGGUUCCGGCAUGUCAUUGACCUUCUUUCCUAUGAACAGAAGUUGAUUGUUGGCCACAAUUGCCUUUUAGAUAUUGCACACAUAUACAACAAAUUCUUUGGACCUCUUCCAUUGACUGCUGAAGAUUUUGUCUCCUCUAUUCACAAGUACUUCCCAUACAUGAUUGAUACAAAAAUACUCUUGAAUACAAAUAAUGUACUUAAGCAUCUGAUGAAGAAUGGUAGCACAUCACUAUCGAAGGCAUUUGCCUCAUUGUGUCCGCAAAUUGCUUCCAGUUCCAAAAACUCGGGUUUGGCUUUCCAGCCAUGGGUUGAAGUUGAGGUGCAAGUGGAUGAUAUGAGGUCCUCCAACUGGAACUCCGGAGCCAAGCAUGAAGCUGGCUAUGAUGCUUUUAUGACUGGGUGUGUCUUUGCUCAGGCAUGCAGUAAUUUAGGAAUUGAUUUCAAGAAACAUUCUUCCUCAGCAAACUUGGCCCACAAUAAAAAUCUCCAGAAGUAUGUCAAUCACCUCUACUUCAGCUGGGUUAAUGGAGACAUUAUUGAUCUAAGUACUGGAAACAGAAUUGCGGCAACUACAGUUUGUUAUAACCUGAAAAGGCGGUACCCAAAGAUUUUGUUCUCUAAUAUUGUCAUAGUAUGGGGAUUUCCUUCCCAACUCUCAUCAAAGAAGAUGAGAGAGUGUAUCUCUAAAGUUUUUGGUCCAAUUUCUGUUACUACCAUCUAUCACUUGGAUGAAACUGCAGUUUUUGUUCAAUUCAGCAAGCCAGAGUUGGUGGCUGACUUUCUGGUUUUAAAAGAAACCUUAGAGACAAUUCAAGAUCCAAUCUCAGUUUUGCAUCCCCUCUCAGUACUGUUGGAAGGUGGAAACACUUGUGCUGCCAGCUAUGAAACUUACAAAGAGAUUUGUAGCUCACCCAUCUCCAAAGUUAUGUUUGCAGAUCAGGCCAAGGCUGUUGGCAUUAAAUGGAAAACCAAAUUAAUUGAAUCAAAAGAAAAGGUGAAGACUCAAGAAGACGAAAGUUUCAGCAAAGAAAAUGGAGCCACUGAUGCUGCUUCUGAUUCUGCUGCUAAAAGCAAGACCAGGAAGAUCGAAGAUGUGAUAGAUAAUCUUUCAGAUGACCGUAACUCAGGUAGUGAAAUCAUAGAUUCUUUGUAUGCUGCCCAAACCAAGCUUAGCAAGCAUAUGAGAACUACAAAUUUAUGAGCCUCUGGCCUCAUUGUAGGUAAUUUUCCAAAUGCAAUUCCCUGAUUCAUGUCUUUUCAUAUUUUAACAAAAUAGAAUAAAAUCUUUAACCCUGUAUUUUAACAGGAUCCUUGUAAUUCAUUUAUGUAUACAAAAGUCGAGAGAACUACUUGUCUUUAUUUGAACCAGUCUUCUCAAUCUGACUAAGUGAACUGAAACUACAUGGAUCAUGAUAUGAAGGUCUCAGACAAGGCAAUCAUCAAUCAACUAAAACUACAGCAAAAAAUGAAAAUCAUCCACAUUGCCUAUUGCUCUUAAAUGAACAAAUAGAGAAUGAUCCAGACUCCGCCAAGGGCGGUCACAAAAUAUGAUGCUAUAGACAACUUGGUGGUGGAAUUUAGCGACGGCGGUGGCACCCAGUUGAAAGAGCUCCGGUCAUUCCCACCACCGGCUUUAGGCGGAAGUGCAGAUA